GUUAAUAUUGUGCUAUGGGUUUUUAAAUUUCGGACUAUGGAAGUGGUUCGUUCCUGCAAGAGACUGAUUUCUGGUCUUCUCUUUCCCCUGUUCAGCAGCAAACUCCUCCUCUCCCUUCAUCGUUGUUGUUGCCGUGGCUGGAAUAAACCUUGUGGGGAAUGCUAAAUGGGUAAAUUUCAGUGCUUGGAUUGCCUCAGAUACCUUAGCUGACGUUGAUCUUCCUGCUGAUCCUUGAGCACUUAUAGACAGGUGGAGGGUUGAUUAAAAUUUUUCUUUUGAUGUAAUUAUAAAUGUUUAUAUAUCUUAUUCUUAUUUUAUUUUUGAAAAGUACGAUUAGGUGCUCCACAUAAGCUAUAACUAGGACUUUUAUUUUAUACAUAUGCUGUCUGUCGGCUGGAAGGAGCUAAGCUCUUGAUUUAAUUGAUAUUUUGGCUGUAUCAAUAUAUUGUAAAAAUUUUGAGAAA